AUGUGCAACAACCAUACGAUGAAUGCUUUCAUGCAUGCAGUUCAAUACCACCAUAAAAAGAGCAUGUGGACAUGUCUGAACUACUAUGGUUAUCCCCUCCCUCAAUAUAUUAGCUCACCAAUAGAUGUUCUGGUCAUAUCAAUUCGAGCUCAAAGUGUAAUAGAUGACCACAACUUGAUAACGCCUUUGCAUUCACCGUCUCAAAGUUGCAUACAUUGUCACUAUGAAUGUGGUAAAGCAGCUAAUAAAUCAUCACUACAUAUGAGGGCAGAAACAGACCUAAGCACUCAUAAUAUCCGCAAUAUACAACCACAUAUAAAAGAACAUCAAAUCAUCAUUUGGUAG
rnacentral:rRNA from 1 species